GUUUUCUGUCUGUGUACAGAUCCGAAUAUAAUUGGAACUGCAUUUUACAUUAUGGAGUAUUUGGAAGGUCGGAUUUUUAUAGAACCCAAGUUACCGGGUGUGGCACCUGGGAGGAGGGGGGCNNNNNNUCGAGAAACUGCCAGAGCGUUGGCUGCUUUACAUUCCGUUGAUGUGGAUGCUAUUGGACUUGGGAAAUAUGGGCGGCGAUAUAACUAUUGUAAACGACAGGUAGAGAGAUGGACUAGAC
rnacentral:misc_RNA from 1 species